CCUACGGGAGGCAGCAGUGGGGAAUAUUGGACAAUGGGGGCAACCCUGAUCCAGCCAUGCCGCGUGUGUGAAGAAGGCCCUCGGGUUGUAAAGCACUUUCAGUGAGGAAGAACGCCUGGUGGUUAAUACCCAUCAGGAAAGACAUCACUCACAGAAGAAGCACCGGCUAACUCCGUGCCAGCAGCCGCGGUAAUACGGAGGGUGCGAGCGUUAAUCGGAAUUACUGGGCGUAAAGCGCGCGUAGGUGGCUUGAUAAGCCGGUUGUGAAAGCCCCGGGCUCAACCUGGGAACGGCAUCCGGAACUGUCAAGCUAGAGCGCAGGAGAGGAAGGUAGAAUUCCCGGUGUAGCGGUGAAAUGCGUAGAGAUCGGGAGGAAUACCAGUGGCGAAGGCGGCCUUCUGGACUGACACUGACACUGAGGUGCGAAAGCGUGGGUAGCAAACAGGAUUAGAUACCCCAGUAGUC
rnacentral:rRNA from 1 species